GCGUCUAAAAUCAAAUAAAGAACCUCAAUGUUGAAUCAUCAAUUGAAUUGUAAAGCAUGGACAAAUCUUUCAGUUGACAAAAUACAAUAACAUAUGAUAAAACAUUCAAAGAUCAUGGGCCCAUUCUGUUCUGAAAAAGGAAAUGAGUAUAGGCAUGUAAUUUCAACCAAACACUCUUUCUCAUAUGCCAUCAUCUGCUGUUCAUGUUAUAAAAUUUGUGAAUGGGAAACACACCAAACAAGCAAUAUAUAGAAGUUCGAGUAAAGAUAUAUUUUUCCAUAAAUAGCAGGGUUAGAACAUUGAAAAACAGAGCAUUUUAAAAGGAAUGUUUCCAAAGCCUGUAUACUUCAAAUCGGACAAACUCAGUGAGUCAAAGUAAUACAAGAUAAGCAUACGAUAUAUAAAACUAGCAAGUCUUCCUCCAUUGAAACAAAGGUGGAUAACUCCUACAAUUAUGUGGAUCUGAUCCUAACUUAAGUCUUUCCUUUAGGUAUACAAAAUAUAAACAAUAAUAUAAAUAGUCGUCAUGCAGCAUCAUCAAUGCUGAAUUCUUGAUUCUCAUGAAAAUUAGUUGACUAUUGAAGAUGCCACUUAGUAAAAUAGAAUCAGACUUUUGGAUAAAUACAUGUAGAAACCAAUUUACAGGUACCUAACUAGAAGCAUCAGAAAAUGUAACCAAAGUUACUGAAAUCACCUGCAUACGGGUCACAAGUACCCAUAUAGGGUUUGUCAGCAAUACAUUCAAGGACCUGCAAAAUAAUGCAUUUGCAGUAAGAUACUUGCUGGAAGAUUUGAAAAUUAUGUCCAGAUCUGAUUGGCUAUAAUCGGUUUGUGAAUAUUGUAAUCGAUUCAAAUGGUUGUAUAUUUGGUUUCUUUCCCCUAUUUCUUCCCUAGAAAUUUGGUUGUAAUUAGAUUUCCUGAUUUAGUCCUAAAUUAGCCAUAACCUAGUCAACUCUCUAUGUAUAUAACCAAUACUCACCCUUUUGGGAAUUAAUAUAGUAAAAAGCUUUAUAUCAAUCCCUUUUCCCUCCAGUUUAAAUCUGCCAUCCCCCUUUCUCUAAUCUUAGAAAUUCUCAAUAAUGUCAUAAAUCUCUGAAAACUAUGCGUUCAAAACUUCAUGGAAAGCCCCAAUAUGGGAAUAAGGGAACUAGUACAAGAGGAGGAAAUCAGAAGGUGAAAAAUGGACAAACAAAUCAUAGAAUUGUUGUGGGAGAAUCCCAAUCAAUAGGAAUUCUCACCAAGAGUAAUAUAGAGAAACUAAAAAGGAUGUUGAAUCAGCUUGAAAUUCUUAAUCCAAGUUCUACACCAACUACAGGUUUUUGCUCUAUGGAUCAAUUAGGUAAUAUCCAUGCAAUGAAUGUUACUAAGGAUUGUUUUUUCCAGCACCGUGAUCAUUGAUCCAAGUGCAACAAAUCAUACGACCAAUUUUGCAAAGUUAUUUUCUGCUUACUCUACAUGUUCUGGAGAACAAAAAAUAAAGAUUGUUAUCAGCAGAGGUUGCACAAGCUUUGGUGGUCAACACAAGUUCAGAUUUGUCUCAUCAACAAUUGACCAUUCAAAAAUUGAAUGGCAAAAACUACAGUCAGUGGUCCCAGUCUGCAAUCAUCUCCAUCAAGGGUAGAGGAAAAUUCGGGUAUAUUACUGGAAGUGUUAAGGAACCGAAGAAGGAAGAUGAGUCUCAAUACCAUACUUGGGAAACUGAUAAUUCCCUUGUGAUGGCAUGGCUCAUUAAUUCUAUGGAGCCCGUUAUUGCUCCUACCUUUCUCUUCCAUAGCACAGCAAAGGAGCUAUGGGAUGCCGUCAAGGAAUUCUACUUGGAUCUGGAGAACUCUGCAGAAGUUUUCAAACUCAAAUCCAAAUUACGAGAUCUUUAGCAAGGUGACAUGGAGGUCACUCAAUAUUACAGCCAGUUAUCAAAGCUUUGGCAAGAACUUGAUAUGUUCGAUACUCUCAUGUGGAAGUGUGCAGACGAUGGCCUGCAGUAUCGGAAAACCAUUGAAAAAGAGAGAGCGUUCGAUUUUCUUGCAGGAUUGAAUAAAAGUCUGGAUGAUGUUUGUGGUCGCUUGAUUAGCCAGAAGUUGUUCCCUUCCAUCCAAGAGAUCUUUGCCGAAGUCAGAAGAGAGGAAAGACAGAAGAGUUAUGCAAGGAGAUUCUGGAAAAUAGAACAAUACUCCAGUGGAGCCAGCAGCCUUGGCAGUCAAAAAUCCCGAUAAAGCUGGCAACCAGAGACGGGAAGGCAAGCUAUGGUGUGUUUACAGCCAUCGUAUAAAUCAUACCAGAGAGAACUGCUGGAAGUUACACGGCAGACCUCCAAACUGGCGCACAAUAGGCAAUCCGAAAGAGUUCCACAAGUUGCAGCUGUGGCAAUCAGAUUGAGCAAUUGUUGAAAUUGCUUAAUCAAUCCCAAAACACGUCCAGUAAUAUUCCUUCCUGUACUAUUGCUCAAAAAGGUACCUUCGUCAAUGCAUUAAAUGCCAAGUCAUGUCACCCUUGGAUCAUUGAUCCAGGGGCAAUUGAUCACAUGACUGGAAAUUCCUCUUUGUUCGCAACUUACUCUCCAUGUCCAGGAAACUUUAAGGUUAAAAUUGCAGAUGGCUCAUAAUCUACUGUUGCAGGAAAAGGAUCAAUUAUUCUCUCAAAAAACAUAAUCCUUAAUUCUGUUUUACACAUGCCUAAUCUCUCUGGAUCCACAUUCGGGGAAGACAAUUGACAAUGCUAAGGAACAUGAGGGACUUUACAUGUUUGAAGAUGAAAUAUAUGUGGGCAAGCAAGAGUAGGCAGUUUAGAUGUUUUUAAUGCUAAGCAUGAUGAAAUAAUGUUAUGGCACCUUAGGUUAGGCCACACAAGUUUUCAGUACCUUAAACAUUUAUUUCCAUCUUUGUUUUCCAAUAAAAGUGUGGAUUCUUUUCAA